UGGCUGUCGUAAAAACCCUAUUUGUAAACAACCAGCCCUUUAACUCGGGGCUGCGUCAUAAACACGGCGCGCUUGGAAGACCACGAUGUCAUCUUCCUUCUGUCAGGAGGAUCCAAGUGAAGCUACAGGAGUUUCAUUAACGUCAACAACUUGGACCAAACAGUUUGUUUUGCUUGAUGAAGAGCAGGAAGGGCAGCCUGGAGAGAAAGAGAAGCCGGGUUGAGCCCACUACCAUCAUCCACGUACCACGAGGAAGAUGAGGGAGAGAAAUGAUCCUACCAUUAAAGAGACUGUGAAAAGAACGUUGAGAACAUCACCACUCUACAGGAAGACACAGUCCAGUAAUGGGUGUCAGAAGUUCAGUAGUGAACGACAGAAACAAACAAUCCAAAUUACCUGCAGAAAGCCCUUGAUGGACGCUUCAGCUGCAUCGUCAGACUGGCAGUACUGAUGCAUUUACUGAGAGGGGACGUGAGGGCCUACUCUGCGUGCUCAGAGUUCAAGCCCAGCAGGCUGCAGCGGGCCUGACAUAUUCUGGAACAGCAGCACAGUCUUUGGAUGACUCCUCUGAAGAUGAAAACAUGGCGAGUUCUUCUCAAGAGAAGCAGUACAGGUGUGCCUCAGCUCCACGGUCCCUCCUGCAGCCUCCGCUCCUGAUGCUAACCUCAUGUCUCCAUCACACCAAGCAGCAGACCUGGAUUGACAGACCUUUCUCCAGAGCUGCCCCCUCCCUCUGAAACCCCCCUCUCCAAAACACUAUUUGUGUAGUUUUUAAAGUAUUUUUUGCAUGAGAAUUGUUGAUCAUAACAUUUCCAGCAGAUGCCUUAAUAUAAUGUUUGUGCACAAUA